rnacentral:tRNA from 1 species
GGGUAUAUAGGUCAGUGGUAGAGUGUGUGCUUAGCAUGCACGAGGUCCUGGGUUCAAUCCCCAGUACAUCUG